GACGAACGCUGGCGGCGUGCUUAACACAUGCCAGUCGAGCGGUAAGGCCCCUUCGGGGGUCCACGAGCGGCGCACGGGUGAGUAACACGUGAGCAAUCUGCCCAUCACAUCGGGAUAACUCCGGGAAACCGAAGCUAAUACCGAAUACGACCACCUCCGGCAUCGGAUGGUGGUGGAAAGUUCCGGCGGUGAUGGAUGAGCUCGCGGCCUAUCAGCUUGUUGGUGGGGUAACGGCCCACCAAGGCUUCGACGGGUAGCCGGCCUGAGAGGGUGACCGGCCACACUGGGACUGAGACACGGCCCAGACUCCUACGGGAGGCAGCAGUGGGGAAUAUUGGACAAUGGGCGAAAGCCUGAUCCAGCAACGCCGCGUGAGGGAUGACGGCCUUCGGGUUGUAAACCUCUUUCAGCAGGGACGAAGCGCAAGUGACGGUACCUGCAGAAGAAGCACCGGCCAACUACGUG
rnacentral:rRNA from 1 species